GGGGAUUGUAACUGGACACCCCAACGUCAACCAGUAUCGCGCAACAACAAGAUAGUCAAAGACUAUUUAACAGAACAUGGUCUUGCAAAAAAGAUGAGUUAAGUUGAGCAGGAUUGUUCUCUGGAAGUAAUCUAUGAAAGUUUAUAAACAACUUCUGCUCUGGGUAAUGCUCGUCGAAAUUGUGUUAUCUCUGCGAGUACCUCAAUUCUUGAUUUAGGAGUAUCAUCUCCUACACUAGGCUUGAUUAGCAUUCUAGUGAGCAUCGGAGACUUGGCUAAGAGAAACUUGAUAAGUUGCAUUUCAGGAUCUGUGCCUGUAAUACCGGCAAAGUGAACAACUCUGAGGUGAUUCAAUGUCACAUCCGAUAAGCUAUUCACUUUCUCUAAAAUCUC
rnacentral:misc_RNA from 1 species